UACGUAGGGUGCGAGCGUUGUUCGGAAUUACUGGGCGUAAAGGGCUCGUAGGUGGCCAACUAAGUCAGACGUGAAAUCCCUCGGCUUAACCGGGGAACUGCGUCUGAUACUGGAUGGCUUGAGUUUGGGAGAGGGAUGCGGAAUUCCAGGUGUAGCGGUGAAAUGCGUAGAUAUCUGGAGGAACACCGGUGGCGAAGGCGGCAUCCUGGACCAAUACUGACACUGAGGAGCGAAAGCCAGGGGAGCAAACGGG
rnacentral:rRNA from 1 species